rnacentral:rRNA from 1 species
AACGCGUAUGCAACCUACCUUAAUCAGGGGGAUAGCCCGAAGAAAUUCGGAUUAACACCGCAUAAAAUCACAGUACAGCAUUGUACAAUGAUCAAAUAUUUAUAGGAUUAAGAUGGGCAUGCGUGACAUUAGUUAGUUGGCGGGGUAACGGCCCACCAAGACCACGAUGUCUAGGGGAUCUGAGAGGAUGACCCCCCACACUGGUACUGAGACACGGACCAGACUCCUACGGGAGGCAGCAGUAAGGAAUAUUGGUCAAUGGAGGCAACUCUGAACCAGCCAUGCCGCGUGCAGGAAGACAGCCCUCUGGGUCGUAAACUGCUUUUUUUUCGGGAAUAAAACCUAUCUACGUGUAAAAUAGCUGAUGGACCGAAAGAAAUAAGGAUCGGCUAACUCCGUGCCAGCAGCCGCGGUAAUACGGAGGAUCCAAGCGUUAUUCGGGAUUAUUGGGUUUAAAGGGUGCGUAGGCGGCUUUUUAAGUCAGGGGUGAAAGACGGUGGCUCAACCAUCCCCAUGCCCUUGGUACUGAAAAGCUUGAAGGAAUUAAAGGUGGGGGGAAUGUGGGACGAUAGGGGGAAAUGGUAAGAUAUGUCCCAGAACACCAUUGGCGAAGGCAGCUUACUAUGGUUAAAUUGACGCUGAGGACCAAACGCGGGGGGGUCAAACAGGAUUAGAUACCCUGGUAGAUCACGCCCUAAACGAUGAAAACUCGUGUAA